rnacentral:rRNA from 1 species
GAUGAACGCUGGCGGCGUGCCUAAUACAUGCAAGUCGAGCGAACAGAUGAGGAGCUUGCUCCUCUGACGUUAGCGGCGGACGGGUGAGUAACACGUGGAUAACCUACCUAUAAGACUGGGAUAACUCCGGGAAACCGGAUCUAAUACCGGAUAAUAUAUUGAACCCCAUGGUUCAAUAGUGAAAGACGGUUUUGCUGUCACUUAUAGAUGGAUCCACGCCGCAUUAGCUAGUUGGUAAGGUCACGGCUUACCAAGGCAACGAUGCGUAGCCGACCUGAGAGGGUGAUCGGCCACACUGGAACUGAGACACGGUCCAGACGCCUACGGGAGGCAGCAGUAGGGAAGCUUCCGCAAUGGGCGAAAGCCUGACGGAGCAACGCCGCGUGAGUGAUGAAGGUCUUCGGAUCGUAGAACUCUGUUAUUAGGGAAGAACAAAUGUGUAAGUAACUAUGCACGUCUUGACGGUACCUAAUCAGAAAGCCACGGCUAACUACGUG